CCCCAGGUGAGAGCUCACCUGACGCCGUGCGGGCCCGGGUACGCAGGGGCUGAACGUGAACCAACCUCCCUCCGCCCCCGGGCGUGGAGAAACUAGGAUGGGGAGUUUCUGCCUACCCAGCCUGGGUGGAGGGACGCGCAGGAUUCCCUCCCCCAAGGAUCAAGGGGUCUGGGGCGUAAAAGGAGGGAGGAGCCUGGAGUCUGCGGAGAAGUCGUGCGGCUCUCUUGCCAGGCACUUUAUUUCUGACUGUCAGAAAAUGGUCACUGCAGAUAUGCCUAUGAUGCAGAUGAUGCCCUCCUAUGUGAGGUACCCUUUCGGAGUGCACAACCUGCACAGCUGUACAUGGUCGUCCUAACAGCAUCUACCCAGUCGUCCUCUGGUUUACAGGGACACUAUGGCCUGACCCACGUGGACGGCUGCAAGAACAAAGAAUUCCUACAGCAAGAAGUUUGCAACAACUAACCACACCCACUCCCCUGUUUUUUUGUAUAAAGGGAGCCUGUAUUCUGACUGGAGUAGGAUGGUUCUCCAAGACAUUAGUCUGCCAUCCUCUCGGUCUGUCGGCUUUCCAAAUAAAGUUGCUAUUCCUUGCCCCAA